AAAUAUUUACCAGAACCAGAAAUCAGCAAAAGUUUUCCGUUUUUCUUUGUGAAAAGAAGGGAGAGGCAUAUGCCAUAAAGACCCAUCUCAAGCCCCGAUGGGAAAGAAUUGUGAUCCGCAAAAUGCGUAACCACAGGAGCACACGGAUUGAGGACAUUUCGACCUGGAAAAAACGACUUGCUGAGAUCCUUCGCCAAUCGCGUGAAUCGGCCAGUUUCACCACAACUGGCGAGAUUGUCUACCGGAAGAAAUACAUCCUGCUGCGCAAUCGGGAUUUGAAAAUGAAACACCACAAGCACGUACUUUGACAACGAUGGAAAAUUGAUCAUCCACACCGUGCCGAAACUAUUUAUUGAUGCACACUCCCUGCGACGAUGAUGAUCCUGAGCGGUGCAUUUCCAUCGAGAGUUCCAGCAUCAACCAACCAAACAAAUCAGAAUCGCAGAAAGGACAAAAAGGAGACAAUAGGAAUCCACCAACGGAGGCCAUUAAUGGAAAUGUGUUUUAACCGGUUACUACACCUUCUGUAUCGCAACCAGGGCGACCGGACGACUGGAUCAGUAAGUUGAACGCUGAACUUACUGAGCUUUUGCGAAAGUUUUGACCCGCGGCGCGUAUCGAGCCCGAUCUGAUAUUCAUCGAAUGACGGAAGCCGGAAGCUGAGCGCUGAACCUACUGAGCUUUAGCGAAAGUUUUGACCUGCGGCGCGUAUCAUCGAAUGACGGAAGCCGUCACCACUGGAACAACGAUGAAAAUGGACGUAGGGACAUGCAUAACAACCUUAACGGAGGCGGACCUACACCACCAGCACAAUUAUUUUGCUUUUUGGUGGUGAUGUCGGCAGCAGCACUACGGUGUUUGCGGCGGCUGUGAGGAUGGACGGGGUGAUAAUGACGGCAUAUUCAUAUCAAUGGAAGUUGAAUUAAAUAAACUGAUAAUAAUUAACGAAAUGGAAAUUUAUUAAUUAAUUUUAAAUAUAUAU